UACAGAGGUGGCAAGCGUUGUUCGGAAUUACUGGGCGUAAAGGGCGCGUAGGCGGUUCGUUAAGUCCUGUGUGAAAUCCCCCGGCUCAACUGGGGAACUGCACAGGAAACUAGCGGGCUUGAGUUCGGGAGAGGGAAGCGGAAUUCCGGGUGUAGCGGUGAAAUGCGUAGAUAUCCGGAGGAACACCGGUGGCGAAGGCGGCUUCCUGGACCGACACUGACGCUGAGACGCGAAAGCGUGGGUAGCAAACAGG
rnacentral:rRNA from 1 species